AUUGAACGCUGGCGGCAUGCCUUACACAUGCAAGUCGAACGGUAACGGGCCUUCGGGUGCCGACGAGUGGCGAACGGGUGAGUAAUACAUCGGAACGUGCCCGAUCGUGGGGGAUAACGAGGCGAAAGCUUUGCUAAUACCGCAUACGAUCUACGGAUGAAAGCAGGGGACCGCAAGGCCUUGCGCGGACGGAGCGGCCGAUGGCAGAUUAGGUAGUUGGUGGGAUAAAAGCUUACCAAGCCGACGAUCUGUAGCUGGUCUGAGAGGAUGAUCAGCCACACUGGGACUGAGACACGGCCCAGACUCCUACGGGAGGCAGCAGUGGGGAAUUUUGGACAAUGGGCGCAAGCCUGAUCCAGCCAUGCCGCGUGCAGGAUGAAGGCCUUCGGGUUGUAAACUGCUUUUGUACGGAACGAAAAGCCUUCUUUUAAUACAGGAGGGUCAUGACGGUAGCGUAAGAAUAAGCACCGGCUAACUACGUG
rnacentral:rRNA from 1 species